GAGUUUGAUCCUGGCUCAGAACGAACGCUGGCGGCGUGCCUAACACAUGCAAGUCGAACGUGAUCCAGAGCUUGCUCUGGUGAAAGUGGCGCACGGGUGAGUAACGCGUGGAUAACCUACCCUGGUAUCCGGGAUAACAUUCCGAAAGGGGUGCUAAUACCGGAUAAGCCCACGGGCUCUUUGGAGCUUGCGGGAAAAGGUGGCCUCUAUUUAUAAGCUACUGUAUCAGGAUGGGUCCGCGUACCAUUAGCUAGUUGGCGGUGUAACGGACCACCAAGGCGACGAUGGUUAGCUGGUCUGAGAGGAUGAUCAGCCACACUGGAACUGAGACACGGUCCAGACUCCUACGGGAGGCAGCAGUGGGGAAUUUUGCGCAAUGGGGGAAACCCUGACGCAGCAACGCCGCGUGAGUGAUGAAGGCCUUUGGGUCGUAAAGCUCUGUCAGGGGGGAAGAAAUGAUAUAGUGCUAAUACCACUUUAUCUUGACGGUACCCUCAAAGGAAGCACCGGCUAACUCCGUGCCAGCAGCCGCGGUAAUAC
rnacentral:rRNA from 1 species